UACAGAGGGGGCAAGCGUUGUUCGGAAUUACUGGGCGUAAAGGGCUCGUAGGCGGUCUGUUGCGUCGGGAGUGAAAACUCAGGGCUUAACCCUGAGCCUGCUUCCGAUACGGGCAGACUAGAGGUAUGCAGGGGAGAACGGAAUUCCUGGUGUAGCGGUGAAAUGCGCAGAUAUCAGGAGGAACACCGGUGGCGAAGGCGGUUCUCUGGGCAUUACCUGACGCUGAGGAGCGAAAGUGUGGGGAGCGAACAGG
rnacentral:rRNA from 1 species